rnacentral:rRNA from 1 species
GACGAAGGAGGGAGGAGUGCUUAACACAUGCAAGUCGAACGGUGAAGCGCCUUCCUUUUUGGUGGGUGUGGAUGAGUGGCGAACGGGUGAGUACCACGUGAGUAACCUGCCACCUUCUUCUGGAUAACCGCAUGAAAGUGUGGCUACUGCGGGAUAUACUGGGUCUGUUGCAUGAUGGGUCAGGGAAAGAUUUUGUUUCGGUGGGGGAUGGGCUCGCGGCCUAUCAGCUUGUUGGUGGGGUGAUGGCCUACCAAGGCGGUGACGGGUAGCCGGCCUGAGAGGAUAGGCGGCCCCACAGCUGAUGCAACACCGCGCAUACUCCUGCGGGAGGCAGCAGUGGAUAAUACUGCACAAGGGGCACCAUCCCGAUGCAGCGACGCCGCGGUGGUGAAGGUGUCCUUCGGGUUGAAAUCCUCUUUCGCGAGAGAACCAGUCCUUCCGUGUUUGUGGGUGUCUUGACGGUAGCUGGACAGGAAGCGCCGGCUAACUACGUG